rnacentral:rRNA from 1 species
AUUGAACGCUGGCGGCAGGCCUAACACAUGCAAGUAGAACGAGUGGCGGACGGGUGAGUAAUGUCUGGGAAACUGCCAGAUGGCGGGGGAUCACUACUGGAAACGGUAGCUAAUACCGCAUACCAUCGGAGUGGCACAGCUGGGAUGAGCUAGUAGGUGGGGUAACGGCUCACCUAGGCGAUGAUACCUAGCUGGUCUUAGAGGAUGACCAGUCACGCUGGAAGUGAGACACGGUCCAGACUCCUACGGGAGGCAGCAGUGGGGAAUAUUGCACAAUGGUCGCAAGCCUGAUGCAGCCAUGCCGCGUUUAUGAAGAAGGCCUUCGGGUUGUAAAGUACUUUCAGCGAGGAGGCGUUACUCGCAGAAGAAGCACCGGCUAACUCCGUGCCAGCAGCCGCGGUAAUUC